rnacentral:rRNA from 1 species
GACGAACGCUGGCGGCGUGCUUAACACAUGCAAGUCGAACGGAAAGGCCCUGCUUUUGUGGGGUGCUCGAGUGGCGAACGGGUGAGUAACACGUGAGUAACCUGCCCUUGACUUUGUGAUAACUUCAGGAAACUGGGGCUAAUACCGGAUAGGAGCUCCUGCUGCAUGGUGGGGGUUGGAAAGUUUCGGCGGUUGGGGAUGGACUCGCGGCUUAUCAGCUUGUUGGUGGGGUAGUGGCUUACCAAGGCUUUGACGGGUAGCCGGCCUGAGAGGGUGACCGGCCACAUUGGGACUGAGAUACGGACCAGACUCCUACGGGAGGCAGCAGUGGGGAAUAUUGCACAAUGGGCGGAAGCCUGAUGCAGCAACGCCGCGUGCGGGAUGACGGCCUUCGGGUUGUAAACCGCUUUCGCCUGUGACGAAGCGUGAGUGACGGUAAUGGGUAAAGAAGCACCGGCUAACUACGUG